rnacentral:rRNA from 1 species
GUUAGGAAUAUUGGACAAUGGGCGCAAGCCUGAUCCAGCCAUGCCGCGUGAGUGAUGAAGGCCUUAGGGUUGUAAAGCUCUUUCAGUGGGGACGAUAAUGACUGUACCAGCAGAAGAAGCCCCGGCUAACUCCGUGCCAGCAGCCGCGGUAAUACGGAGGGGGCUAGCGUUGUUCGGAAUUACUGGGCGUAAAGCGCACGUAGGCGGACCGGAAAGUCAGAGGUGAAAUCCCAGGGCUCAACCUUGGAACUGCCUUUGAAACUCCUGGUCUUGAGGUCGAGAGAGGUGAGUGGAAUUCCGAGUGUAGAGGUGAAAUUCGUAGAUAUUCGGAGGAACACCAGUGGCGAAGGCGGCUCACUGGCUCGAUACUGACGCUGAGGUGCGAAAGCGUGGGGAGCAAACAGGAUUAGAAACCCCUGUAGUCC